AUUGAACGCUGGCGGCAGGCCUAACACAUGCAAGUCGAGCGAGCGGCGGACGGGUGAGUAAUGUAUGGGGAUCUGCCUGAUGGAGGGGGAUAACUACUGGAAACGGUAGCUAAUACCGCAUACCAUCAGAUGACCCCAUAUGGGAUUAGCUUGUAGGUGAGGUAACGGCUGACCUAGGCGACGAUCCCUAGCUGGGCUGAGAGGAUGAUCAGCCACACUGGGACUGAGACACGUCCCAGACUCCUACGGGAGGCAGCAGUGGGGAAGAUUGAACAAUGGGCUCAAGCCUGAUGCAGCCAUGCCGCGUGUAUGAAGAAGGCCUUCGGGUUGUAAAGUACUUUCAGUCGGGAGGCGUUACCGACAGAAGAAGCACCGGCUAACUCCGUGCCAGCAGCCGCGGUAAGAC
rnacentral:rRNA from 1 species